AUGGCCCAUGAACAGGAGCUGAUCCUCAAGUUUGACACUAUGGUCGGUGAGGAGCGUGAAAAAAAGGAGCCAACUAAUCUUUUUGAAGGUUGGAGUGAUGAGGAAAAGGUAAGCUAUAUGAGGCAGUUGGAAUUCAAUCUUCCACAAUACAGUGAGGCACCUAAUCUUGAAGACAAGGAAGUCCCGGAUAGUGUAAUUUUUGAUGUCACAGAUCCAGAGAAAAUUCAGAAAAAUUAUGUUGCUUCAAUUGGUCAUUAUAGAUCCUGGCAAUAUGUUGGUUCCGACCGACGUUUUGAGUUUGGUUCAAAACAACGCACGUUUGUGACCAGAUCAACGGGAACAUUUGUAUUCUAUUAUAGAUACAAACAUUUUCUUGUUGGCUUGAUCGUCGACGGAUAA
rnacentral:rRNA from 1 species